rnacentral:rRNA from 1 species
GACGAACCGUGCGAACGUUGUUCGGAUUCACUGGGCUUAAAGGGCGCGUAGGCGGGCGGUCAAGUCAGGGGUGAAAGCCUUCAGCUCAACUGGAGAAGUGCCCCUGAUACUGAUCGUCUCGAGGGAGGUAGGGGCAUGUGGAACUUCCGGUGGAGCGGUGAAAUGCGUAGAUAUCGGAAGGAACGCCGGUGGCGAAAGCGACGUGCUGGACCUCUUCUGACGCUGAGGCGCGAAAGCUAGGGGAGCAAACGGG